AGUGAACGCUGGCGGUAGGCCUAACACAUGCAAGUCGAACGGCAGCACAGUAAGAGCUUGCUCUUACGGGUGGCGAGUGGCGGACGGGUGAGGAAUACAUCGGAAUCUACUUUUUCGUGGGGGAUAACGUAGGGAAACUUACGCUAAUACCGCAUACGACCUACGGGUGAAAGCAGGGGAUCUUCGGACCUUGCGCGAUUGAAUGAGCCGAUGUCGGAUUAGCUAGUUGGCGGGGUAAAGGCCCACCAAGGCGACGAUCCGUAGCUGGUCUGAGAGGAUGAUCCGCCACACUGGAACUGAGACACGGUCCAGACUCCUACGGGAGGCAGCAGUGGGGAAUAUUGGCCAAUGGGCGCAAGCCUGAUCCAGCCAUACCGCGUGGGUGAAGAAGGCCUUCGGGUUGUAAAGCCCUUUUGUUGGGAAAGAAAAGCAGCAGGUUAAUACCCCGCUGUUCUGACGGUACCCAAAGAAUAAGCACCGGCUAACUUCGUG
rnacentral:rRNA from 1 species